rnacentral:rRNA from 1 species
AUGUCAUCGAUGCUGCUGAAGUUCGAGCACACUUCCAUGGUGUGCUCGAACUUCUUGCGGUCACUGAGCGAGCACCCGAGGAACAAGACCCUCCAUCCAAUGGGAAAGGUUUGGGGUUGGAGUUGGAGCUCAUGGAGAAUGAGAGGUGGUGAAACAGAUGGGGUUUGA